rnacentral:rRNA from 1 species
GACAGAGGGUGCGAACGUUGUUCGGAAUUACUGGGCGUAAAGCGCGUGUAGGCGGCAGCGCAAGUCGGGCGUGAAAUCCCACGGCUCAACCGUGGAAGUGCACUCGAAACUGCGCAGCUAGAGUCCUGGAGAGGAAGGUGGAAUGCUUGGUGUAGAGGUGAAAUUCGUAGAUAUCAAGCGGAACACCGGUGGCGAAGGCGGCCUUCUGGACAGUGACUGACGCUGAGGUGCGAAAGCGUGGGGAGCAAACAGG